GGCAGAGUGGCGCUGUGGUUGCUGCUGCUGCUUCGCGAGAAGGGGGUUCCGGGUUCGAAUCCCGGCUGGUCCC
rnacentral:tRNA from 1 species